UACGUAGGGACCAAGCGUUGUUCGGAUUUACUGGGCGUAAAGGGCGCGUAGGCGGCGUGGUAAGUCACUUGUGAAAUCUCUGAGCUUAACUCAGAACGGCCAAGUGAUACUGCUGUGCUAGAGUGCAGAAGGGGCAAUCGGAAUUCUUGGUGUAGCGGUGAAAUGCGUAGAUAUUGGGAGGAACACCAGUGGCGAAGGCGGCUCACUGGACCGGUACUGACGCUGAUGCGCGAAAGCGUGGGGAGCAAACGGG
rnacentral:rRNA from 1 species